UAACCAUGAUGGGGACAAAGGGCUUGCAACUCUUUAUAUCUUUCCCGAGCUUAGUAUAUGUUUUCAUUAUCCUUUUGGCAAAUAAAAAGAUUUGCUUUUUGAGGGC
rnacentral:snoRNA from 1 species